AUGUUAUUACUUGGACCUCAUAUAAAUCAUUUUGAAUUUCUUGUUGGGCGCCAAGAUAUUCAUCAUUAUGUCCAAGAAUUGCUGAAUACCUGGGUGUUGGUUUCCUGUCAAGCUUUGGUCAGUGAGGAAGGAACAGUUGGCAGUGAUGUGUUGGCCAUCAGCACACUGACUCCACACUGGCAUGUUCAGAGAACCCUCUGCACUUCUGAACCUGGGUCUGUUCUCAACUGGCGUGGCCUCUCUCGUCAGAGAGCUCAGUGAGGAUUCUAUUUGGACCAUCGCUCUCCCCACUGUUCAGAAAGAACCUUCUCCCAAACAUGGACAUGAUAUGCAACUCUCGGCACUUCCUGCUCCUCACCCCGCAGUGAUUUUUGACUUGCAGAUGUGAACUGUUAUUUGCAGGCUCUAUAACUGUUUGUGAUUCUGCCUCCCAGAUUUAACACAGAACUGGCGCCUUUUUCUAAUACUCACCUCUUUACUUAUCACUGCCAUGGGAUCACACAGUUGUGAGUAUUUUUUUUUUUUUUUUGACAAGCCAAAAAUCAAAUGGAACAAAAAAUGGCUGCAGAUGCAAUUUUCCUGGCUUCCGGGGAGCAGUGUAAGAAGGUGAAGACAUAAGCUUUGUGGUUGCUCAAAUCUAGCCCAUGCAAUCAGCAGCUGUGGGACCUCAGGCAGGUCUGAGGGCUUAUCCUCUGGGAGCUGCCCUGCAAAAUGGGCAUGGUGUUGCAUGGUCCAGAGGUUAGUGUGAGCUGCAUGAAAGGAAGGCACCCAGCCUGUGCCUAGAGGUGUUCAAUAUACAGGCUGAGCAUCCUUAAUCUGAAAAUAUGAAAAUUGAAAUGCUCCAAAAAUCCAACAUUUUUGAGCAUUGUUUCAGCACUCAAAAAGUUUUGAUUUCAUAAGCCAGACUCAGAAAGACAAGUAUCACAUCUUAGGUAAUAUAUGGAGUCUUAAAAAAAAAAGGAAGACUAUUAGGCAGGAGGAAAAGAAUAAAAGGGAGGUGGUGGGUGUAAGGAAGUGUAACGGGGGCAUGGAUAUGAUCAAUGUACGUUAUAUGUAUGUAUGAAAAUGGCAUAAUGAAAUCUGAUAUUUUGUAAAAUUAAUGUGUACUAAUAAAAACAUAUA
rnacentral:lncRNA from 1 species